rnacentral:rRNA from 1 species
UACAGAGGUGGCAAGCGUUGUUCGGAAUUACUGGGCGUAAAGGGCGCGUAGGCGGCCUUCUAAGUCGAACGUGAAAUCCCUGGGCUCAACCCAGGAACUGCGUCCGAUACUGGGAGGCUUGAAUCCGGGAGAGGGAUGCGGAAUUCCAGGUGUAGCGGUGAAAUGCGUAGAUAUCUGGAGGAACACCGGUGGCGAAGGCGGCAUCCUGGACCGGCAUUGACGCUGAGGCGCGAAAGCCAGGGGAGCAAACGGG